AUCUGUAUUUCCACUCUUGUCCUUGCAGGU
rnacentral:piRNA from 1 species